AUACAGAGGGUGCGAGCGUUAAUCGGAAUUACUGGGCGUAAAGCGCGCGUAGGCGGCUUGGUCAGUCGGAUGUGAAAGCCCUGGGCUCAACCUGGGAAUUGCAUUCGAUACUGCCAAGCUAGAGUAUGGGAGAGGGAAGUGGAAUUUCCGGUGUAGCGGCGAAAUGCGUAGAUAUCGGAAAGAACACCAGUGGCGAAGGCGACUUCCUGGCCCAAUACUGACGCUGAGGUGCGAAAGCGUGGGGAGCGAACAGGAUUAGAAACCCUAGUAGUCC
rnacentral:rRNA from 1 species